rnacentral:rRNA from 1 species
ACGAACGCUGGCGGCGUGCUUAACACAUGCAAGUCGAACGGAAAGGCCCUGCUUUUGUGGGGUGCUCGAGUGGCGAACGGGUGAGUAACACGUGAGUAACCUGCCCUUGACUUUGGGAUAACUUCAGGAAACUGGGGCUAAUACCGGAUAGGAGCUCCUGCUGCCUGGUGGGGGUUGGAAAGUUUCGGCGGUUGGGGAUGGACUCGCGGCUUAUCAGCUUGUUGGUGGGGUAGCGGCUUACCAAGGCUUUGACGGGUAGCCGGCCUGAGAGGGUGACCGGCCACAUUGGGACUGAGAUACGGCCCAGACUCCUACGGGAGGCAGCAGUGGGGAAUAUUGCACAAUGGGCGGAAGCCUGAUGCAGCAACGCCACGUGCGGGAUGACGGCCUUCGGGUUGUAAACCGCUUUCGCCUGUGACGAAGCGUGAGUGACGGUAAUGGGUAAAGAAGCACCGGCUAACUACGUG